UCUAUUUUUGUAGACAAAAGUCUGAAAAGGCUGAAAUGAUAGUAUGCUUGGCAACUGUUGCCUCUGUAUAGUGAAUCACAUGUUGAUUUAAUUAUUUACUUUUUGCUUCCUUGUAUCUCCUAAAUGUUUUAUAAUGAACACAGGGGUAAUAAGAUAAAUUUUACGAAGAAUGGGAAAAGGGCCAAUGAAAGCUACAGGUGCACUCAGAGGGGCCAGAGAGCCAGGCUGCUGCAAUGGCAGGCAGCAGGGACUGGAAACCUUAUCACAGCAGGAAUCAUUUCACCAGACAUCCUCCUGGACUCUUCUGCAGCCUUGAAACAUCCCGGAGAGGGGAAGGUUGGUGACAGAGACAGCAGGUGCGAUUCUAUGUUAGGAAAGAGGAAUGGGGUCAGCCAUGUAGAGUCCUAAUCAUUCAAAUCAGUGGAAGACAGUGUUCACCCCAGUUAAGAAAGAUGACCUCAGUCUUCUGUCAGUAUCCCUUCCUUGGGGUACCCAUUCUGCCCCCACUCAAGACAGUGUCAAUGGGGCUGUUAACAGCAGUGCCCUGUUCCUCCGUUCCUCAACAUCUCCUCCCUCUCCCUAGCCCGGGAGGGUGGGCAUGUGACCAAGCAUAUCUAGAAAUAGACAUAGAAAUAAAACAUUUCCACGGAUGAACAUGAGACACAAACAGACUGUCAGAGUGCUGUUACGAGAUGUGACAAAUGGACACUGGGGAUAGAGGAGUGUUUCUCUCUUCCUUCUAAAUCACGUGCCAUAAGCAUGUUGGUUUGGGAACAACAGUGGCUACUUUCUCACCAUGUGGACACAUCCUGUCUGAGAAUCAAACACAAGACAGCAGUGGAAAGACAGAGCCCUGAUGAUGUGAUUUGAGUUCCUGGAUCCAACCAUGCCUGAAACUGAUAGGGCGACCUAUCCAGGUUGGAUGGCAGAGCAGGAAUAAAGGUGGUGGAGAAAGAGCAACGAACAUGGUGGACUGAGAUAGGCUGGAGAACGCUCUGUCUGAGGAAGAGAUGAAGACAAGACAUUCAAGGUCUUGUGUAAUUUCCAGACUGCACUAUGGCUCCAAGCGGCUUUGUAUCACAAAGACCAGUGUGGCCAGUCACAGAGGCCUUCCAAGAGCUCACCUGCUCUUCCCUGGUGUAUAUGCUGCCCCAGAGGCGCCAAGAUGAGAACCCAUGGAGGCUGGCAGUUGAGAAAGGUUGCCCAAGGGCCGUGUGCCCCUCGGCCUUUUCUCCAGGAGUGUUCCUAACAUUUGGGCAGAUGCCUGGCUUUAACUGAGAGCCUCAUCCAAGAACAUCAUGAUCUCAGUGCCUGCCGGCUCACUCUGGGACUGACCCCGCAGGAGCCUCCCGGGCCACAGUGGGGACGGGCACAGAGUACUUCCUGACACCCUGGACCUCCCCUCCUUCCCAGUCCUGAGGAUGGAUGAGGGAGGAGGAGCAGAGUUGGGCCUCAGGCCACCCUGGGUUUGUGUCCCAGGUGUAGUCCAUGCUG